rnacentral:rRNA from 1 species
CCAGACUCCUACGGGAGGCAGCAGUGGGGAAUAUUGCACAAUGGGGGAAACCCUGAUGCGGCAACGCCGCGUGAGUGAAGAAGUAUUUCGGUAUGUAAAGCUCUAUCAGCAGGGAAGAAGAAGGACGGUACCUGACUAAGAAGCCCCGGCUAACUACGUGCCAGCAGCCGCGGUAAUACGGAGGAUGCGAGCGUUAUCCGGAUUUAUUGGGUUUAAAGGGUGCGCAGGCGGCACGGCAAGCCGGCGGUCAAAUCGCGGGGCUCAACCCCGCCCAGCCGUCGGAACUGCCGGGCUAGAGUGGGCGAGAAGUGCGCGGAAUGCGUGGUGUAGCGGUGAAAUGCAUAGAUAUCACGCAGAACUCCGAUUGCGAAGGCAGCAUACCGGCGCCCAACUGACGCUGAAGCACGAAAGCGUGGGUAUCGAACAGGAUUAGAUACCCGCGUA